rnacentral:piRNA from 1 species
UAAGGCUACUUGUUCUGGUCAUAUGCCAG